AUUGAACGCUGGCGGCAUGCCUUACACAUGCAAGUCGAACGGUAACGGGCCUUCGGGUGCCGACGAGUGGCGAACGGGUGAGUAAUACAUCGGAACGUGCCCGAUCGUGGGGGAUAACGAGGCGAAAGCUUUGCUAAUACCGCAUACGAUCUACGGCUGAAAUCAGGGGACCGCAAGGCCUUGCGCGGACGGAGCGGCCGAUGGCAGAUUAGGUAGUUGGUGGGAUAAAAGCCUACCAAGCCGACGAUCUGUAGCUGGUCUGAGAGGAUGAUCAGCCACACUGGGAAUGAGACACGGCCCAGACUCCUACGUGAGGCAGCAGUGGGGAAUUUUGGACAAGGGGCGCAAGCCUGAUCCAGCCAUGCCGCGUGCAGGAUGAAGGCCUUCGGGUUGUAAACUGCUUUUGUACGGAACGAAAAGCCUUCUUUUAAUACAGGAGGGUAAUGACGGUACCGUAAGAAUAAGCACCGGCUAACUACGU
rnacentral:rRNA from 1 species